GACAGAGGGUGCAAACGUUGUUCGGAAUUACUGGGCGUAAAGCGAGUGUAGGCGGUUCGAUAAGUCGGAUGUGAAAGCCCCCGGCUCAACCCGGGAAGUGCACUCGAUACUGUCGAGCUAGAGUAUCGGAGAGGUUGGUGGAAUUCUCGGUGUAGAGGUGAAAUUCGUAGAUAUCGAGAGGAACACCGGUGGCGAAGGCGGCCAACUGGACGAAUACUGACGCUGAGACUCGAAAGCGUGGGGAGCGAACCGG
rnacentral:rRNA from 1 species